ensembl:snoRNA SNORA25 small nucleolar RNA, H/ACA box 25
AGGUCAUCUCAAAGAGGGCUUGUGGGACCAAAACCAGGAGCUCUUAACGCUGUGACCAAAGAUUGAAGUUCUCCAUAGGAUAUAAUAGUCACUCAGUAGUGCUAUGUUUUCCUGAGGAGAUACAUCC